UAUCUAGUUCUUAUAUUUUAAAUUAACCCAUUUCUAUAAAUCUAUACCUUGCCACUUGGCUCGUGGCUUAUCGGUAUCUUAACAUCAUGCUUCUCAUCCCGGUGGCUGGCAGUGUCUCUGUGCCUCAACCUUCCACUUCCCAGAAUUCUCCUCUCUCCUUGGCCUGCCCUUACUUCCUGCCUGGCUACUGGCCAAUCAGCACUUUAUCAAUCAAUCAUCCAUAGCAGUUAGCCUCUAAGUGCCACACAUAGCCAACUUGCUGGUGUUUUACCUCACAUGGACCUCGAUAGUUCUGAUAUCUCAGAGCUUUUUAACAGGAAAAUACGUGGUUGACUGCUGUACUCAAAAUACUUUGUGAGAUUAAGAGAAGUAAAAACCUCAGGCUUCUCUGCCAGGAAGGCUAGUGAGGAGUGAGGCACCUCCCAGCAUCCUGGCUUGUUGGUAACAGCCAAGUGACUGGGUUAUAUGUCUGAACUGGUGUGUUUGGAUGCCUGGAAGUGAAGAACAAGGAAAGGCAGUAAGGAGCUUGCAAUAGUUGCCGCAGCCCUGCAGUAUUAGGAGGUAUUUCAGGACAGAAUGCUUGUUCCCCACAGUAGAGGAACGGAGUGAGCCCGUUCCCAUGUGCCGGUGUGAAGGGCUGCUUUCUGCUGUGUCUCACUCGGGAUGCCACUGGGGCCAGCUUAGUUAGACAGGGAAUUAAAAAUGAAAGAGGCAGUGGCUGUACAUGAGGGAAGGCUCAGACCAUGAUGUUCUCUGCAGAAGGAAGGAACAGGAGUAGAGUAUGCCUCCGACCUGUGGUGUGUAAGUUGGGAAUUAGAGGAAGAGAUUGAUGGAUCCUGCAUAAGGUUAAAAAGUUUAAAAAAAAAAAAAAAAAGAGUCCUUGCAAUUGAUAAUUUACAUGUGAAAGACAGAAAAGACACACCCACAAAAAAUUAAACUCUCAGAAUUUGUAGCCAGUCUGAUGGGUGUGUAUGGAUAGCAUUUACCUAAAUGGACCAUAUUCUGAAUCAUAAAACUUGUCUCAAAUCAUAAAAAGUAUAUUCUUUUACCACAGAAGAAUAAAACCUACUUUUAAGAAAACAUUAAGCCCAGUGAAAAAGUAGGCAAAAAAACUGAAUAAAUCUUUACUUUACCAAUAGAGGGGUUGGGGAAGUACAGUGAAGUUGUUACUGCACGGGAUCAAGACUUGAGGUUCAUCCUCAUAUAAACAGCCAGACUUGUGAUAUCCUCUUGUAAUUCCUAUGCCAGCCAGCCUAGUCUACAUGGUAAGUCUCAGGAGCAGUGAGGCACCCUGUCUUAAAAUCAGGUGGUCAGCUCCCGAGUAAAAGCGCCCAGUCAAACCCCCCUUCUACAUACAUGCACAUGUAACCAUGUAAUGACACACACAUGAAUAUGCCCCUACAGUUUGUGCAUACUCAUAGUUUUCCAAAAGAAUAGAUAUAAAUGUUCAGCUUUAUAAGUAUGAAAGAAAUGAAGAGAUUAGAUGCUGGAGAGAUAGCUCAGCAGUCGAAAGGGUGUGCUUCUCUUAUAAAGGAUCUAGGUUCAGUUCCCAGCACCAACAAGGUCAACUCACAACUGCCUGCAACUUCUACUUUAUGGGCAUUGGAUGCCUCGUGGCACAGACACACAUAUACACGUAAUUAGAAGUCUUUAAAAAAUGAAAAUUAAAGUCACAGUGACAGGUGACCAGGGAUCCACAGUGGUAGAACAUGCAGUCCUGAGUUUGACAUACAGAACCAUAAUAUGGUGCCGUUAUGCAUGUAUAAUUUAAUUAAGAUAUAAAAGAAUCACUCCUGACACUCGCUGUCAAGGAUGAAGAGCAAAUAGAUUUAAAUUGGACAUCUAUUAGCCAUAGUACACAGUCAUACUAUGCUGGGUAUUUACCUAAGAAAAAUGAAAGCAUUUACCCAUAAGAAAAGUUCCAUGGUAAUAUUCAUAUAUUGUUUUUAAUAGAAAAACUUAUCUGCAACCCAAAUGCCUGUGAACAUCUCUGAAUGGAUAAGCAAAUGACAGUGUAUUCAUAUAAUGAAGCCUACUUAGCACUUAAAAAUGAAUAAAUUGCUGAUAGAUAAAGUAUCUGUAGAUCUCAAAA